rnacentral:lncRNA from 1 species
GAGUUGUGAGCGGCUGGCGAUGGUCGGCGUACGGCGAGGCAAAGGGAGGCCUAAGAGGUAUUAGGGAGAGGUGAUUAGCAUGACAUGACUAGAAUGCGGGUUUCUGAGGACAUGGCCCUUGAUAGAAAAGUCUGGAGGUCUAGUAUAAGGGUUGUGGAAUAGGGGCCCCUAGAGUUUUUCGUACUACUCACCCAGGGUUGGUUGAGGCUUGGCAGGGCUAUCCAUAGAUGAUUUGUGUUUUGGUUUGUG